GUACAUUAAACUAUUCAGAGUUGAUUUAUAAUGAAAAUUAGAAUAUUCAAAGUUGUGAAAAUGAAAUUUCAUUCAUGGUUCAUGAAAGUGUUCAGUAAAUUGUAAUGAUUUCAUAUAAUUUGACAGUAUAUUUAUUGGUAUAUUCCCUGUUAUAUUAAUUUGGGAGAAAUCUUUGGUAUAGGGUUUAUGGAAUUGUGAAUUUACACUUCAAAAUUAACAAAUGAAUGAAAAUUGUGCAUAUUUUUGUGUUAAAAUUCAUGGUUUGACGACCCCAAAAUCCACUACAUGUUAAAAUUUGCAAUAAGGAGCCAUUGCUUAAAGAAAAGAAAGCAGCAUAUCAAAAGGCAUUAAAUGGUAUUGUUAAAAAGAUUCAUGGACUGUGUACAACAUUACAAUAGGUUAUUGGUCAUUUUUGUACUAAAAUGUACUGAUAUAAUUGUAUAAUUUCAAGUAUAAAUUUCCCACGUUCAAUCAAGGAGAGAUGUAUAGUAAAUAGGUUGUAAAUAUUUCCUUUUUACCACAUCUAUCUAUAUUUCCUAAUACUUUACUGGCUGCAUUGAGGCGUACAGAUCCCUUAAACCGAACACCUCUGCUGUAGGACUUUCAAACAGCCAAAUAGUUUUUCAUAUGUUCAGAACCUUCAGCUUGCGACUAUUACUAUUAACUUGACUACUGUGGAUUCAUCUAUUUUCGUGGAUAUCAAUUUUCGUGGAUUUCUGAAAACUUGUCUUUUCGUGGAUAUUUGAUUUCGUGGUUUUGCCAAAGUCUGCACACAUCCUAAUACAAAAUUUGAAAUUCGUUGAACAUUUUAAUUUGUGGUUCACCUGUACCCACGGAAACCACGAAAAUUGGUAUCCAACGAAUAAUAAUGAAUUCACAGUAUGCCAUGGCGAGAAGUAUUGUAGGAGUUUAAGUCAUGCUAUUAUCUUUUCUUAAACAUGUUUUAAAAUGGCAAACAACAUCAGAUAUCAAUUCAUGAGCUUUUUAGUGACUCUCCAAAGAUCUGUGGUUUACAGCGUGAAGUAGGUUUGGCUAUCACCAACAUGGUUUUCUUCAUCUGACCACAUUUCUCAGGCUUUUAAAAUUUUUCCUCUAGUCACUGGAUCUAAUGCUUAAAAGUGGGUACCCUCCUCUUGAAUCUGAAUUUUGCUCUCAAACUGAAGAAACUCUAGUACCUCACUCACUCCCACUAACUUGCUUCACCAAUAACCACCAUGGUUACCGGUAGUAAUACUAUACAAAGAAGAAUAUAUAAUUGAACCUUGUUAAGAAUCAUCUAUUGUAACUCAAUUUGUUUUAUAAUUGAUGUAAAAUGAUGACCGAUAAUAAUUGGAUUACUACUUAAUGAUUUUACUGAUUUUGUAAGGACUUUUAAUGUUUUUUAGAUAACUGAUGUGAUUACUUAAAUAUAUUGAAUUUUGUGUCAUUUACGUAAUUAUUGUUUGACAGGGUUGAUUAAAAGUUAUAUAAUUGGUGAGAUGGAAUCAAGGUUUAGGUAGUAAUUUCUUUCCUGUCACAUCAACAUAUCAUUACAACAGAUUCCCAGCUACUAUAUGUAGUCAAAAGAUAUUUUUAAACCUGAUACAUAUUACAGUGACUUGACUGUUAGUGUUGCUAUUCACCAAUUGUGGCCAAAUUGCAAUUUGUUUUAUAAAUCAAAUUGUUCAACUGGUCAGAAAUUUGAACUAACUGCUGUAGAAAACCACAUUCAAGUAGGGAAAGUGCAAGGUGAUAAAAUAAAACAUACUUACAUUCCUAUAAGACUUUACAGUGACUUGACUGUAAGUGUUGCUAUCCACCAAUUGCAAUUCAAAAUAAUGACAGUUCCUUCAUCAUGGAAAUGACUAUAAUAUACCUAUACAAACUGAUAGACUCAUUAUGUCACAACAUCAUUCAAGUGGAGUUAAAGUCUUUAUAGGAUUGUAAGUAUGUUUUAUUUUAUCACUUUGCACUUUCACAUUUUGACUGAAAAUUUGUUCAAUUUUGACAGUGAACAAUUUGGUUUAAUAAAACAAAUUUCAAUUUGGUCAACAUUUUGAAUGAGUUGCAAUUGCUGGAUAGCAACACUAACAGUCAAGUCACUGUAAGUGUUAGAUAGGGGAAAAUCCAUGAAAAAAAGAAAAUUUCUCAGCACUAAAUAGAAACCCAACAGAAUACCUUGAAUAAUUCUCAUGUUUCAAUAAAUUCUGAUUGGACAUAAGAAAUAUAUCAUUUGAUUGAAAUAAUGAUUUACAACAUGAAUAUCAUUUGAUUGAAAUAAUGAUUUACAACAUGACAAUAUAUGUGAUUUAUUUGUGAUUAAGAAUAUUAUAGAUAUGUGUUGUUGUCU
rnacentral:lncRNA from 1 species